rnacentral:lncRNA from 1 species
CUGCGGCUCAGCUGAUAAUUGAAGGGACGACAAGCCGCCGCCGUCGCCGCCGCUGGGGGGGGUGGGGGGAGCCAGUGGAAGUUGCCGUCGCGCCACGGAGUCCGGACCAGAGACUUUGGGGCCUAACUAGUGAAUGGUAGUGUCUAGAAAGGGUAUGUCCCUUCAAGAGAGAGGUGCCAAUGUCCAACCGGCCUAAUAACAAUCCAGGGGGGUCACUGCGACGUUCACAGAGGAACACUGCCGGGGCCCAACCACAAGACGACUCAAUAGGAGGAAGAAGCUGCAGUUCAUCAUCUGCUGUCAUAGUUCCGCAACCAGAGGAUCCAGACAGAGCCAAUACUUCAGAAAGGCAGAAAACGGGGCAGGUGCCUAAAAAAGACAAUUCUCGAGGAGUGAAACGCAGUGCUAGUCCAGACUACAACAGGACCAAUUCUCCUAGCUCUGCGAAAAAGCCCAGAGCAUUUCAGCAUAUUGAGUCUCUCUCAGAAACCAAUAAGCCACCUAGUAAGUCAAAGAAGAGACAUUUAGACCAGGAGCAACAACUGAAAUCUGCACAAUUGCCGUCAACAAGCAAGGCUCACACCAGAAAGAGUGUGGCUGCUGGUAGUUCACGGAGUCAGAAAAGAAAAAGGACAGAGAGUUCUUGUGUUAAGAGUGGUUCUGGGUCCGAAUCAACUGGUGCCGAAGAGAGAUCUGCAAAACCCACCAAGCUGGCUUCAAAAUCGGCCACCUCAGCCAAAGCUGGGUGUAGCACCAUCACUGAUUCUUCUUCUGCUGCCUCU